UAGGGAAUCUUCCACAAUGGGCGCAAGCCUGAUGGAGCAACACCGCGUGAGUGAAGAAGGGUUUCGGCUCGUAAAGCUCUGUUGUUAAAGAAGAACACGUAUAAGAGUAACUGUUCAUACGUUGACGGUAUUUAACCAGAAAGUCACGGCUAACUACGUGCCAGCAGCCGCGGUAAUACGUAGGUGGCAAGCGUUAUCCGGAUUUAUUGGGCGUAAAGAGAGUGCAGGCGGUUUUCUAAGUCUGAUGUGAAAGCCUUCGGCUUAACCGGAGAAGUGCAUCGGAAACUGGAUAACUUGAGUGCAGAAGAGGGUAGUGGAACUCCAUGUGUAGCGGUGGAAUGCGUAGAUAUAUGGAAGAACACCAGUGGCGAAGGCGGCUACCUGGUCUGCAACUGACGCUGAGACUCGAAAGCAUGGGUAGCGAACAGGAUUAGAUACCCUGGUAGUCCAUGCCGUAAACGAUGAGUGCUAGGUGUUGGAGGGUUUCCGCCCUUCAGUGCCGGAGCUAACGCAUUAAGCACUCCGCCUGGGGAGUACGACCGCAAGGUUG
rnacentral:rRNA from 1 species